AAUAGUUUUGCAGCAGCGUCAGUCGUUCCUUUGGUCUCGGGCUUGGCAGGGACCGACUUCAGACCAGUUGGAGUCGGGUUGCAAGCAAGUUCCCUGAAGCUGAGGUCGUCCCAUUCCAAGUCGACUGCCACACGUUUGUUCACAUUGUGGGGGAUGGUCCUGUGCAGUGGGCUCUUCUUCCCAUGGGAGCUGUGGCCACAUUACAUCAAGUUUUGCUUUCACCUCAGCACGACUGGUUGCUGCACGGUGUCAAUGAGGCCUGAUACAUUACGAGUCUCUUAUUUAUAGGAUGGGCUCUCAUUGCUUUUGCGGCUGGCGAUUGAACCUGGGAUGUGAGGUACAGAAGCGGACCCUUGGCCAGCUGGGAGUCGCCUGCUCUGAACCUCGGCCUCCCUGACCCUUCGCCUCCCUGACCCAACACGCAACAUAAAUGUUGGGAUGAAGCUGUAGUCUUCGAGCAGGCAUUGCUCAGGCCAUUACGUUCCUUGCCUUGUGUUUGGGGCCUCACGGGUGACGGACGCGACUUCUGAACUUGCAUCAGUGCCACGUUGACCGAUUUGCUUGUUCCAGAAGUGUCUUGAACAUAAAACGACAAUGUUUGUAAGUAAUAAUGAUUUUUAAAUAACUGGGUAUAUUGGUCAUAUACCAAGGCUUUCAGGUAGUUCUGUUCCUGACUUGCUGUGGACUUGACCAGAAAUAAAAUCCAUCCCAGUGGGCUUCUGCAGCAGUCUGCUGAGAAGACUUGUUGGGAACACGAUGUUAAAUGGCUUUUUAUCUGUUUAGUGGAGUUCUGAUUUUGUUUUUAAACUUGACAGGCCCCGUGAUGGACGUGAAGGGUUGUCAUUGAUCUGCUUUUGGUUUGUAAGCAACUAAUAAAACUUUUUUAGAAACUG